GUCGAGCGGAGUGAUGGUGCUUGCACUAUCACUUAGCGGCGGACGGGUGAGUAAUGCUUAGGAAUCUGCCUAUUAGUGGGGGACAACAUUUCGAAAGGAAUGCUAAUACCGCAUACGUCCUACGGGAGAAAGCAGGGGAUCUUCGGACCUUGCGCUAAUAGAUGAGCCUAAGUCGGAUUAGCUAGUUGGUGGGGUAAAGGCCUACCAAGGCGACGAUCUGUAGCGGGUCUGAGAGGAUGAUCCGCCACACUGGGACUGAGACACGGCCCAGACUCCUACGGGAGGCAGCAGUGGGGAAUAUUGGACAAUGGGCGCAAGCCUGAUCCAGCCAUGCCGCGUGUGUGAAGAAGGCCUUAUGGUUGUAAAGCACUUUAAGCGAGGAGGAGGCUACUGAAGUUAAUACCUUCAGAUAGUGGACGUUACUCGCAGAAUAAGCACCGGCUAACUCUGUGCCAGCAGCCGCGGUAAUACAGAGGGUGCAAGCGUUAAUCGGAUUUACUGGGCGUAAAGCGCGCGUAGGCGGCUAAUUAAGUCAAAUGUGAAAUCCCCGAGCUUAACUUGGGAAUUGCAUUCGAUACUGGUUAGCUAGAGUGUGGGAGAGGAUGGUAGAAUUCCAGGUGUAGCGGUGAAAUGCGUAGAGAUCUGGAGGAAUACCGAUGGCGAAGGCAGCCAUCUGGCCUAACACUGACGCUGAGGUGCGAAAGCAUGGGGAGCAAACAGGAUUAGAUACCCUGGUAGUCCAUGCCGUAAACGAUGUCUACUAGCCGUUGGGGCCUUUGAGGCUUUAGUGGCGCAGCUAACGCGAUAAGUAGACCGCCUGGGGAGUACGGUCGCAAGACUAAAACUCAAAUGAAUUGACGGGGGCCCGCACAAGCGGUGGAGCAUGUGGUUUAAUUCGAUGCAACGCGAAGAACCUUACCUGGCCUUGACAUAGUAAGAACUUUCCAGAGAUGGAUUGGUGCCUUCGGGAACUUACAUACAGGUGCUGCAUGGCUGUCG
rnacentral:rRNA from 1 species